CCCUGUAGCAUCCAGGUGCCCCUACCCGGACGUGCUGCGGAGUCAUCCAAGGUGCGAAGCUUCGGGGACAAUGAUUCGACCACUGGAAGCCUCAUCCGGUCGAGAAC
rfam:Nitrosococcus halophilus Nc4 plasmid pNHAL01, complete sequence.